AUCCUUUUGUGGUUCACAAGCGUGAUGAUUGGAUUUUCAUGUCAUUCUGUGAGAUGUGGCUCCUUCAAACCUUAUUAUGACAUUGGCACAUGUUAUAACCUGUCUGACA